rnacentral:rRNA from 1 species
AACGAACGCUGGCGGCAGGCCUAACACAUGCAAGUCGAACGCUCCAGCAAUGGAGAGUGGCAGACGGGUGAGUAACGCGUGGGAACCUUCCCUAUGGUUCGGAAUAGCUCAGGGAAACUUGAGGUAAUACCGGAUAAGCCCUUCGGGGAAGGAUUAUCGCCAUUGGAUGGGCCCGCCGUAGGAUUAGCUAGUUGGUGGAGGUAACGGGCUCACCAAGGCGACGAUCCUUAGCUGGUCUGAGAGGAUGAUCAGCCACACUGGGACUGAGACACGGCCC